UAAAAUAAUUGCGCCCGUGAAAAAUUCGCAGUCGGCAUAAGGCGGCGCGAGCACACCGAGCGCCCGGUUAAUUAACUUCAUGUGCGAAGACGCGCGUAACGUAACGGAUGGCAACGUGACGUCACGGCGGUCCCGAUGAACGAUCUCCGAUAAUUACGCCACCGGAUUACAUUACGACCUCGGAUGAUAAUCUUUGAGCGAACGAUUAUCCUCGGAAAAUUGCCAAGGCGUGCAAACGAGGCCCGGCGAGCUGAGCGUUUCCCGACGAAGCGUGCUGGUUCAAAGUAGCAGAAAUCUCGACGGAGAAGUCGGAAAAAGGAAUCCGGUGGGGCCCGCACGUCGGCAGCCGUCGACGUCUGUCAUAUUCAGUCGACCCCGGUCGCUCGGCAAAAUCGGCUCGGCGUCUCUUGCUCCGCACAUGUAUUACAACUCGCUCGAAAACACCGCCGUUGCCACCUCCGCCGCCGCCUCCACCGCUGUCACUGCCAUCGCCACCGCCGCCGCCGCUGCCGUCACGAUAACACGGAAGAGCAAUUAAUACGCGUCUGCUCUCGUAAUUAUGCCAGUAUUUAUCAGCACCCUUCGCAGUCAAGUGACGGUAGUUGGUGCGUUAACUCGAUGUCGAAUCGCGCCAGGUGCAACGUGGUAGCUCGUCGGUCUUGAGGAAAAUGAGAUAGUUUGUGCCACCGUGUGUGGGAAAAACGUG